rnacentral:rRNA from 1 species
ACCCGCACAAGCGGUGGAUGAUGUGGAUUAAUUCGAUGCAACGCGAAAACCUUUACCUACCCUUUGACAUGUCCGGAAUCCUGCAGAGAUGCGGGAGUGCCCGAAAGGGAAUCGGUACACAGGUGCUGCAUGGCUGUCGUCAGCUCGUGUUGUGAAAUGUUGGAUUAAGUCCCGCAACGAGCGCAACCCUUAUCCUUUGUUGCCAGCGGUCCGGCCGGGAACUCAAAGGAGACUGCCAGUGAUAAACUGGAGGAAGGUGGGAUGACGUCAAGUCAUCAUGGCCCUUACGACCAGGGCUACACACGUGCUACAAUGGCGCAUACAAAGAGAAGCGACCUCGCGAGAGCAAGCGGACCUCAUAAAGUGCGUCGUAGUCCGGAUUGGAGUCUGCAACUCGACUCCAUGAAGUCGGAAUCGCUAGUAAUCGUGGAUCAGAAUGCCACGGUGAAUACGUUCCCGGGCCUU